GACGAACGCUGGCGGCGUGCUUAACACAUGCAAGUCGAACGGAAAGGCCCUGCUUUUGUGGGGUGCUCGAGUGGCGAACGGGUGAGUAACACGUGAGUAACCUGCCCUUGACUUUGGGAUAACUUCAUGAAACUGGGGCUAAUACCGGAUAGGAUCUCCUGCUGCAUGGUGGGGGUUGGAAAGUUUCGGCGGUUUGGGAUGGACUCGCGGCUUAUCAGCUUGUUGGUGGGGGAGUGGCUUACCAAGGCUUUGAAGGGUAGCCGGCCUGAGAGGGUGACCGGCGACAUUGGGACUGAGAGACGGACCAGAGUCGUACGGGGGGCAGCAGUGGGGAAUAUUGCACAAUGGGCGGAAGUGUGAUGCAGAAACGCUGCGUGCGGGAUGACGGCCUGGGGGUGAAAAACCGCUUUCGCCUGUGACGAAGCGUGAGUGACGGUAAUAGGUAAAGAAGCACCGGCUAACUACGUG
rnacentral:rRNA from 1 species